rnacentral:sRNA from 1 species
UAUCGAACGCUUGUUUACGAAACUGUGA